UCGAGAAUCUUCCGCAAUGGGCGAAAGCCUGACGGAGCGACGCCGCGUGAUUGAUGAAGUCCUUCGGGACGUAAAGAUCUUUUAUGCGCGAGAAAGUAAUUGAUAGUAGCGCAUGAAUAAGGGGCUCCUAACUCUGUGCCAGCAGGAGCGGUAAUACAGAGGCCCCGAGCAUUAUCCGGAAUCACUGGGCGUAAAGGGUGUGUAGGCGGCUAUGUUAGUCUUUUGUGAAAGAUCCCGGGCUUAACCCGGGAGACGCAGGGGAAACGGCAUGGCUUUGAGGGUAUGAGAGGUAAAGGGAACUCAUGGUGUAGGGGUGAAAUCCGUUGAUAUCAUGGGGAACACCAAAUGCGAAGGCACUUUACUGGCAUACUCCUGACGCUGAAACACGAAAGCGUGGGAAUCGAAUGGGAUUAGAUACCCCCGUAGUCC
rnacentral:rRNA from 1 species